CCUACGGGAGGCUGCAGUGGGGAAUAUUGCACAAUGGGGGAAACCCUGAUGCAGCGACGCCGCGUGAGUGAAGAAGUAAUUCGUUAUGUAAAGCUCUAUCAGCAGGGAAGAAAAUGACGGUACCUGAGUAAGAAGCCCCGGCUAACUACGUGCCAGCAGCCGCGGUAAUAAGUAGGGGGCAAGCGUUAUCCGGAUUUACUGGGUGUAAAGGGAGCGUAGACGGCAGUGCAAGUCUGGAGUGAAAGGCGGGGGCUCAACCCCCGGACUGCUCUGGAAACUGUACGGCUGGAGUGCAGGAGAGGUAAGUGGAAUUCCUAGUGUAGCGGUGAAAUGCGUAGAUAUUAGGAGGAACACCAGUGGCGAAGGCGGCUUACUGGACUGUAACUGACGUUGAGGCUCGAAAGCGUGGGGAGCAAACAGGAUUAGAUACCCUUGUAGUC
rnacentral:rRNA from 1 species